GUUCCUUUAUGAUCACCAAAGUUAAGCAACAUCAAGCCAGGUCAGUACCUAGAUGAGUGACCAUUUGGGAAUACCAGGUGAUGUA